rnacentral:rRNA from 1 species
AGUGGCGGACGGGUGAGUAAUGUCUGGGAAACUGCCUGAUGGAGGGGGAUAACUACUGGAAACGGUAGCUCAUACCGCAUACCAUCAUAUUUGCCCAGAUGGGCUUAGCUUGUUGGUGGGGUAACGGCUAACCAAGGCGACGCUGCCUCGCUGGUCUGAGAGGAUGACUAGCAAGACGGGAACGGAGACAGGGUCCAGACUCGUACGGUAGGCAGCAGUGGGGAAUAGUGGAAAAUGGGCGAAAGCCUGAUGCAGCAAGGCCGCGGGUAUGAAGAAGGCCUUCGGUUUGUAAAGUACGUUCAGCGGGGAGGCGGUACCCGAAGAAGAAGCAACGGCUAACUCCGUGCCAGCAGCAGAGGUAAUAC